rnacentral:rRNA from 1 species
AGCGAACGCUGGCGGCAGGCCUAACACAUGCAAGUCGAACGAAGUCUUCGGACUUAGUGGCGGACGGGUGAGUAACACGUGGGAACGUGCCUUUAGGUUCGGAAUAACUCAGGGAAACUUGUGCUAAUACCGAAUGUGCCCUUCGGGGGAAAGAUUUAUCGCCUUUAGAGCGGCUCGCGUCUGAUUAGCUAGUUGGUGUGGUAAAGGCUCACCAAGGCGACGAUCAGUAGCUGGUCUGAGAGGAUGAUCAGCCACAUUGGGACUGAGACACGGCCCAAACUCCUACGGGAGGCAGCAGUGGGGAAUCUUGCGCAAUGGGCGAAAGCCUGACGCAGCCAUGCCGCGUGAAUGAUGAAGGUCUUAGGAUUGUAAAAUUCUUUCACCGGGGACGAUAAUGACGGUACCCGGAGAAGAAGCCCCGGCUAACUUCGUGCCAGCCGCCGCUGUAAGAC